rnacentral:rRNA from 1 species
AUUGAACGCUGGCGGCAGGCCUAACACAUGCAAGUCGAACGAGUGGCGGACGGGUGAGUAAUGUCUGGGAAACUGCCCGAUGGAGGGGGAUAACUACUGGAAACGGUAGCUAAUACCGCAUACCAUCGGAUGUGCCCAGAUGGGAUUCGCUAGUAGGUGGGGUAACGGCUCACCUAGGCGACGAUCCCUAGCUGGUCUGGGAUGAUGACCAGCCACCCUUUAACUGAGACCCGAUCCAGACUCCUACGGGAGGUAGCAGUGGGGGGUAUUGCACGAUGGGCGCAAGCCUGAUGCAGCCAUGCCGCGUGUAUGAAGGAGGCCUUCGGGUUGGAAAGUAAUUUCAGCGAGGAGGCGUGACUCGAAGAAGAAGGACCGGCUAACUCCGUGCCAGCAGCCGCGGUAAUUC